CUUUAUGGGCGGAGCCGUGCGUGGGUGCCUUCGGGCACGCCGGCUAACGAGACCGGUACGCCAACCCGUACGGCUCCGUCCACCUGA
rnacentral:antisense_RNA from 1 species